AUUGAACGCUGGCGGCAGGCCUAACACAUGCAAGUCGAACGAGUGGCGGACGGGUGAGUAAUGUCUGGGAAACUGGCCGAUGGAGGGGGAUAACUACUGGAAACAGUCGCUAAUACCGCAUACCAUAGGAUGUGCCCAGAUGGGAUUAGCUAGUAGGUGGGGUAACGGCUCACCAAGGCGACAAUCCCUAGCUGGUCUGAGAGGUGGACCGGCCACACGGGAAAUGAAAAAGGGCCCAGACUCCUACGGGAGGCAGCGGUGGGGAAUAUUGGACAUUGGGCGCAAGCCUGAGGGAGCCAUGACGCGUGUUGGAAGAAGGCCUUGGGUUUGUAAAGUUCUUUCAUCGGGGAGGCGUUACUCGCAUAGGAAGCAACGGCUAACUCCGUGCCAGCAGCCGCGGUAAUAC
rnacentral:rRNA from 1 species